GUCUCCAGACCAGUGUGUUUACUGGGGUGUUGGUUUAAUUAGUGUCUCAGACCAGCAGUUGUUUUAAGGGGUGUUGGUUUAAUUAGUGUCUCCAGACCAGCGGUGUUUUAAUGGGUUGCCUCCAGUCCAGACCAGCAGCGUUUUUAAUGGGUGUUGUGGUUAUUACAGUGCCCCGUCCAGACCAGCAGCGUUUGCCGUUUCUUCCCAGAGUGUAAGACGAGGGACUGUCUCUUCUACCACCCCAGGUCAGAACAAUACUCACAACCAUUGAGGUUGAAAGGAGUUUGUCCUCAAAUACCUGUUUUGAGCUGUUUGUUAUACAUCUUUCAUUAGACACUAGUAAGGAAAAAGGAUGUCUUGAGUUCUGAUCAAAAUGUUGCCGUUAUCAACUUCAAGAUGAUGUUUGAAGUGGUUUUUCUGUCUCUCGUCAGCCGUGUCGGUUGGAGCCCAGUGUAAAACGUACCGGUUUCACCUUUACCACCCCACUGCCUCGGGUCCCCUCCCAGACACGCCCUCAAGUGGACA
rnacentral:lncRNA from 1 species